UUCAAUUGAGUAAACAUUUCCUAAUUACUUAAGAGCAAAGCGUUGUUAGGUGCCUAGGGAAACAAAGACAAAUCAUUGCUUCCUGUCUCCAAAAAGUUCCCCAUUGAGCAAGCAGGUGAGCUACAAUAAAAGCAACAGGUCUUAUUAACAAAGGGCUGGGCAAAUCCAGAGGAGAGUGUGAUAAAUUCCACUUUGGUGAGACUUCCGUGGAAGAACUAAAAGCUGGACCUUGAAGAUCUGUCUGCUGUGUGCCAGACACAUGUCUGUGAUUCAGAGGGCAGCAUUGACUCUGGAGUGUGCAGAAGAUAAUGAGUCUGGAAAAGAAAACUGGGGCCAGACUGAAAAUUUCAGUGCCUCUCUGCCCUUAUCUCCGCCAGAUAACUCUCUUCUACUACCUUGCUUAUUCCCCAAGACCCAGCUCAACCUCUACCUUCUUUAUUAAAUCUUCCUGAUUACC
rnacentral:lncRNA from 1 species